rnacentral:rRNA from 1 species
CAUGCAAGUCGAGCGGACCAACGAGGAGCUUGCUCCUCAGAGGUCAGCGGCGGACGGGUGAGUAACACGUGGGCAACCUGCCUGUAAGACUGGGAUAACUCCGGGAAACCGGGGCUAACACCGGAUAACAUCUUCCUCUGCAUAGAGGAGGAUUGAAAGAUGGCUUCUGGCUAUCACUUACAGAUGGGCCCGCGGCGCAUUAGCUAGUUGGUGGGGUAAGGGCUCACCAAGGCGACGAUGCGUAGCCGGCCUGAGAGGGUGAUCGGCCACACUGGGACUGAGACACGGCCCAGACUCCUACGGGAGGCAGCAGUAGGGAAUCUUCGGCAAUGGACGAAAGUCUGACCGAGCAACGCCGCGUGAGUGAGGAAGGCCUUCGGGUCGUAAAGCUCUGUUGUUAGGGAAGAACAAGUACCGUUCGAACAGGGCGGUACCUUGACGGUACCUAACCAGAAAGCCACGGCUAACUACGUGCCAGCAGCCGCGGUAAUACGUAGGUGGCAAGCGUUGUCCGGAAUUAUUGGGCGUAAAGCGCGCGCAGGCGGUCUCUUAAGUCUGAUGUGAAAGCCCACGGCUCAACCGUGGAGGGUCAUUGGAAACUGGGGGACUUGAGUACUGGAGAGGAGAGUGGAAUUCCAUGUGUAGCGGUGAAAUGCGUAGAUAUAUGGAUGAACACCAGUGGCGAAGGCGGCUCUCUGGCCAGUAACUGACGCUGAGGCGCGAAAGCGUGGGGAGCAAACAGGAUUAGAUACCCUGGUAGUCCACGCCGUAAACGAUGAGUGCUAGGUGUUGGGGGGUUCCACCCUCAGUGCUGACGUUAACACAUUAAGCACUCCGCCUGGGGAGUACGACCGCAAGGUUGAAACUCAAAGGAAUGACGG